rnacentral:rRNA from 1 species
UAACGAAUAUUCCGCAAUGGGCGCAAGCCUGACGGAGCAAUGCCGCGUGCGGGAUGAAGCGGCUUCGCCGUGUAAACCGCUGUCAGGGAGCAGAAACACUGAUCGCUCCCAAAGGAAGAGACGGCUAACCCUGUGCCAGCAGCCGCGGUAAGACAGGGGUCUCAAGCGUUAAUCGGAAUUACUGGGCUUAAAGGGUGCGUAGGCGGCCUUGUAAGUGUCUUGUGAAAUCCCCCGGCUCAACCGGGGAACCGCGGGACAUACUGCGAGGCUCGAGGAAGGUAGAGGCCGGUGGAACGAUAGGUGGAGCGGUGGAAUGCGUAGAGAUCUAUCGGAACGCCAAAGGUGAAGACAGCCGGCUGGGCCUUUCCUGACGCUGAGGCACGAAAGCGUGGGGAGCAAACCGGAUUAGAUACCCCCGUAGUCC